GAUCCGGUCGGCUAACGGGCAGGCCGCGAGGCUCUCAACCUCGAAGUGCGAGUUCAAGUCUCGCCCGGAUUACCA
rnacentral:tRNA from 1 species